rnacentral:lncRNA from 1 species
GCGCAGACCUGGAGGUGCAGGAGCGGGCGUCCUGCAUCCUGCAGCUGGUCAAGCACAUCCAGAAGCUUCAGGCCAAGGACGUGCCUGUGGCAGAGGAGGUCAGCGCUCUCUUUGCUGGGGAGCUGAACCCAGUGGCCCCCAAGGCCCAGAAGAAGGUUCCAGUCCCCGAAGGGUAAGGAUACGGGGGUGGGGGCAUUGCAACCAUGGCCCUGACAUGGUCCCUUGAUGCCUGGUGGCACAGCGGGGGCUCCUGCACCCCUGAACAGCCAGGAGGGUGUGGGGCUGAUUGGAGGCCUCAGGCGGGUAUAUCCCUCACACGGACUCACCAGGUCUCUCACUGGUUCUGGGAUCUGGCUUCUGCCUGGGGAUGCUCCCUGCGAAGUGGGCCUGCUCCCACCCUUGCCAUAAAGCUCUGAGGCAGCCUGAGCCUGCCGUGGGGGCCCCACUGUGACCCUGCCGCAGUCUUCCUGGGUCCCUGCGUCCUCUUAAGGGGCAGUGACACCUGCCUCGCUGGCCCUGUGUGGGUGGCAGGCCCCACUGUUUGGGAUAUCACAUGGCCAGGCACGUGGUGAGCCUGCUCAGGGCGGACGCCUGCAGGCGCGUGCUCGGUCACACACUGCCUUGUGU